AUUGAACGCUGGCGGCAGGCCUAACACAUGCAAGUCGAACGAGUGGCGGACGGGUGAGUAAUGUCUGGGAAACUGCCUGAUGGAGGGGGAUAACUACGGGAAACGGUAGAUAAUACCGCAUACCAUCGGAUGUGCCCAGAUGGGAUUAGCUAGUAGGUGGGGUAAAGGCUCACCUAGGCGACGAUCCCUAGCUGGUCUGUGAGGAUGACCAGGCACGCUGGAACGUAGACACGGUCCAGACUCCUGCGGUAUGCAGCGGUGGGGAAUAUUGCACAAUGGUCACAAGCCUGAUGCAGCCAUGCCGCGUGUAUGAAGAAGGCCUUCGGGUUGUAAAGUACUUUCAGCCGGGAGGCGUUACCCGCAGAAGAAGCACCGGCUAACUCCGUGCCAGCAGCCGCGGUAAUAC
rnacentral:rRNA from 1 species